rnacentral:sRNA from 1 species
UUGCAGGAUAGCCGUCGCAGCACCAUGGU